rnacentral:tRNA from 1 species
AGCUUUAUAGUUUAACUAAAACAUUAAUUUUGUAAAUUAAAAUUAUUUUUUAAAAUUUAAGCAA